rnacentral:rRNA from 1 species
AGUGAACGCUGGCGGUAGGCCUAACACAUGCAAGUCGAACGGCAGCACAGUAAGAGCUUGCUCUUACGGGUGGCGAGUGGCGGACGGGUGAGGAAUACAUCGGAAUCUACUUUUUCGUGGGGGAUAACGUAGGGAAACUUACGCUAAUACCGCAUACGACCUACGGGUGAAAGCAGGGGAUCUUCGGACCUUGCGCGAUUGAAUGAGCCGAUGUCGGAUUAGCUAGUUGGCGGGGUAAAGGCCCACCAAGGCGACGAUCCGUAGCUGGUCUGAGAGGAUGAUCAGCCACACUGGAACUGAGACACGGUCCAGACUCCUACGGGAGGCAGCAGUGGGGAAUAUUGGACAAGGGGCGCAAGCCUGAUCCAGCCAUACCGGGGGGGUGAAGAAGGCCUUCGGGUUGUAAAGCCCUUUUGUUGGGAAAGAAAAGCAGCAGGUUAAUACCCCGCUGUUCGGACGGUACCCAAAGAAUAAACACCGGCUAACUUCGU